rnacentral:piRNA from 1 species
GAUUGAGAAGAUGGAGUGUAUGU